AAUUUUAGACGUACUGACGUACGACAGCGACAGCGAGUCGUCGCGACCGCGAGGUAGAUAGUGAAUGUCAGUGGUGAAUGGAAUGUAUUUCGAGUUGAACGGUGAAAUGUUAUGACGUGCAGCAGUUGCCUUUGUUUCAAUAACAUUCGAAUAGUUUACCAAAAGGAGCAUAGCUAACAUAAUGUAAUUGAAACGUGAUAUACAAUAGAAUAAUAGUGUUCGAAUUAUGAUUUUAUCCAAAGUAUGAUUGUGCCACGAAGAAUUAGCAUAGUUAGGUGUUUUGUGAAUGUUGUGCCAAUAAUGAGAUAGUGGUGUGUUUGUGAUGCGGCUGUGGGACAUGUGGGCUGUGCUGUGGACCCUCGAGGCUCUGGCUCAGCUCGCGGGGGUGCUCGCUACGCCGUUGGACCCCGCGCCGCUGUCUCUGAGAGCAAGCCAUUGACUGGUCUGAAGACAGUGAAGUGAAGAAUGUACUGAAAGUUUUCAAGCUUAUUGGCAGCAAACACUUUCUCUGUUUUUUUGCAAAAAUUUUACUGCUUCUUGCAUGUGGAUAUUACCAGCAUGUCUAGCAUGGAACAACAAGAGAGGUUGUGAUAUGAGAAAGAUAAUAUUGUACACCAAUAGCAAAACAAUAGCAAAAAUAGAUUUAAAAAAAUUGUAAUCUUUUUUGUUCCUUGAAAUGACCUUCAACUAUCUGUUCUGUAUUUGUAUCUGUUUAAUGGAUGAAAAGUAUUUUAUGAAAAAAUUUUGUAUUUUAAAAAAUAUAUAUAAACAGAUGGGUGAAGGUUGCUUCAAAUACCAAUCUUCUACUAAUAUUUUAGAUUCCAUGUCUAUUAGUCAAAAACUUAUCUCCCUCUCGUCGGAAAAUAUGUUGUCUCCACAUGCUAGAAGUGCAUAAGAGAUGCAGACAGUAUUAUAGAAGACCAAUUUCUAUGCAACAGUCAUUUGUUAACAUUGAAUUUUUUUAAUUGUUUAUUUUCAAUAAAUGAUAGUACACUAGAAA
rnacentral:lncRNA from 1 species